CUCCAUGAAUUUGUCUAAUCCUCUUUUGAACCUGGUUAAAAUGUCAGCCUCUACAAUAUCUUCUAACAAUAUAUUCCAUUAAGUCAGUGGUCUCCGACCUUUUUAAGUCGGAGAUCACUUUUGGAAUUUAAAAGAAGCCCAAGAUCUAUACCGUGCCAGUGCUGCCACCACACUCCCUCCUCCCUGCCCAGCAGCAAUUUUAUGAACAAUUUGCCUCGGCCUACUGUCUUGAACUGCGGGGCCCAGAACCAGACACAGUACUCCGGGUAAGGCUUUACUAGUACUGGUGAUAAUGACUACCAUUUUAAAAUCAACGAGAGAUUCUGAGUGCCAGCGAUUCUCCUGCAACCAGCAACACACAGGUCAACUGUAAAUGCCUAAAUGAAAACUCACCAACUUCACUGGGGCUCCAUAUGAGUACAGCAGUCUAUCUUCAUUCUAUCUGUUAUAAAACUAGUGCUAUUUUUUAGGAGUUUUGCAACAAUUAAAAUGGAUCUUACAGCUGCACCUCCAGAAAUGUAAUAUACCUCAUCCAAUGCACCAAAUGCCCUGAUGGAAGAUAUGUAGGAGAGACCAAACAACAACUGCGCACCAGAAUGAACGCACACCAGAAAUCCAUCAAAGACAGAAACACUCAAUUACCGGUGGGAGCACAUUUCUCACAGGAGGGCCACUCUGUCUCCAAUCUCUCAGUCCUGAUCCUCAAGGGAAACUUACACAACACUUCCCAGAGACAAGCCUAUGAGUUCCAUUUCAUCAACCUCCUGGAUACUAGAGAUCAUGGACUAAACAUAGACAUUGGAUUUUUGAUACAUUAUAAUCUGCCUGGCAACUGACUCCCCAGCCCAGCCCCUGGCUUCUUUACUUUUCAUUCCAUCCAGGAAGAGCACACACCAACUGCUGAAGCGUCCUUAGCCUGACGAAGGGUUUUUGAACCCGAAAGCUUGCUUAAUAACUAUUCUCCAACCAUUUGGGUUGGUCUAAUAAAAGAUAUCAAAUUCACCCAAGGAACCUUGUCUGCUUGUAACAUGCCACACAUUCAAACAACUUAUGGUGUGAUGAAAUGGGAAACCAGUUAUUUACUGUGGGACAUCUUUGUAGCUGGUUUUUAUCACACUUCCGUGUGAACAUAUGGCAUGCAACCGGCAUCAGGCUGUACACAGUGGCCUCAAGCUGGCCUAAUGCUCAGCUGCACACACCAGGGUGCACGCAGCUGCCUCCAUGGAGCCCCUUGGUACCUGGCUUGCAUGCAUGCUGCUUCUG